rnacentral:lncRNA from 1 species
UGGUUACUAUUUUAGACUAUAAAAAUUUUGGUAGUUAUUAUUUAUUUUAUAAAAAUCAAAAUUUAAUUUUAAUUUUAUUUUAAAAUAAAAAUAAUUAAAUUUAUUUAUGGUUCAAUUUAGUUUUGAAUUUCGGGUUGGUCCAUUUCAAAAUAAACUACUUAACAUUUUUUCUCACAAGUACCUCCUCUCUUCUUUCUUACUCAAAAUUUUCUCUCAAAAUCUUAAAUUUUUAUUUCGAUUUCCGUUCCAAUAGUGAACAAAAUAUUUUGGAUGAUUAAUCAAUUAAUACAUUUUUCAUUCCAAAAUAAUCUAAUUAUAUUUUUCAUUUCUAUCCAACGGUGAACCAAACAUGCCUUUAAAGUGAUGCACAUUUUUGUG